rnacentral:tRNA from 1 species
GUCAAAGUGGCUCAGGGGAUAAGAACACAGACUGGGACUCCUGAGGUCAUAGGUUCGAGUCCUACCUUGCUCACUUCUUGAUG